rnacentral:rRNA from 1 species
GCCCCGUCCGCGAGCCUUAAACAUUGCAGGUCGAGCGGAUGAGAGGAGCUUGCUCCUCGAUUCAGCGGCGGACGGGUGAGUAAUGCCUAGGAAUCUGCCUAGUAGUGGGGGACAACGUUUCGAAAGGAACGCUAAUACCGCAUACGUCCUACGGGAGAAAGUGGGGGAUCUUCGGACCUCACGCUAUUAGAUGAGCCUAGGUCGGAUUAGCUAGUUGGUAGGGUAAAGGCCUACCAAGGCGACGAUCCGUAACUGGUCUGAGAGGAUGAUCAGUCACACUGGAACUGAGACACGGUCCAGACUCCUACGGGAGGCAGCAGUGGGGAAUAUUGGACAAUGGGCGAAAGCCUGAUCCAGCCAUGCCGCGUGUGUGAAGAAGGCCUUCGGGUCGUAAAGCACUUUAAGUUGGGAGGAAGGGCUCAUAGCGAAUACCUGUGAGUUUUGACGUUACCAACAGAAUAAGCACCGGCUAACUUCGUGCCAGCAGCCGCGGUAAUACGAAGGGUGCAAGCGUUAAUCGGAAUUACUGGGCGUAAAGCGCGCGUAGGUGGCUUGAUAAGUUGGAUGUGAAAUCCCCGGGCUCAACCUGGGAACUGCAUCCAAAACUGUCUGGCUAGAGUGCGGUAGAGGGUAGUGGAAUUUCCAGUGUAGCGGUGAAAUGCGUAGAUAUUGGAAGGAACACCAGUGGCGAAAGCGACUACCUGGACUGACACUGACACUGAGGUGCGAAAGCGUGGGGAGCAAACAGGAUUAGAUA